AACGAGAAGCCGUGCAUUCAAUCUUUCGGGAGAGAAAGUGCGGUGGAAAGUGGCGAAAGGGUGAGGAACGCGUGGGCAAUCUAUCUCACAGUUGGGGACAACCCUGGGAAACUGGGGCUAAUACCGAAUACGGUCUCCUGUCGCAUGACGGGAUGACUAAAGGUGGGGAUCCUUCGGGACCCGUCGCUGAGAGAGGAGCCCGCGUCCCAUCAGCUUGUUGGUGAGGUAACGACUCACCAAGGCUUACGGGUAGCUGGUCUGAGAGGAUGGUCAGCCACACUGGGACUGAGACACUGCCCAGACUCCUACGGGAGGCUGCAGUCGAGGAUCAUUUACAAUGGGCGAAAGCCUGAUAAUGCGACGCUGCGUGGAGGAUGACGGCCCUAGGGUUGUAAACUCCUGUCAUUCGGGAAAAACUGUGAGUAGGUUAAUACCCUAUUCAAUUGAUGGUACCGAAAGAGGAAGCCACGGCUAACUCUGUGCCAGCAGCCGCGGUAAUACAGAGGUGGCGAGCGUUGUUCGGAUUUACUGGGCGUAAAGCGUGCGUAGGUGGUUUCGUAUGUCGGACGUGAAAUCCCACUGCUCAACGGUGGAACUGCAUCCGAAACUGCGGAGCUUGAGUACAGGAAGGGAGAGCGGAAUUCUUGGUGUAGCGGUGAAAUGCGUUGAUAUCAAGAGGAACACCAGUGGCGAAGGCGGCUUUCUGGACUGUAACUGACACUGAGGCAUGAAAGCGUGGGUAGCAAACAGGAUUAGAUACCCUGGUAGUCCACGCCGUAAACGAUGGGUACUAGGUGUAGG
rnacentral:rRNA from 1 species